UCGAACGAUGAAGCUGGAGUUUACUUUGGAUGGAUUAGUGGCGAACGGGUGAGCUAACACGUUGAGCAACGUGCCCAGGACUCUGGAAUAACGUCGGGAAACCGUCGCUAAUACUGGAUAGGUGCCAUGGCCGCAUGGUCUGUGGUUGGAAAGAUUUAUUGGUUCUGGAUCGGCUCACGGCCUAUCAGCUUGUUGGUGGGGUAAUGGCCUACCAAGGCGACGACGGGUAGCCGGCCUGAGAGGGUGACCGGCCACACUGGGACUGAGAUACGGCCCAGACUCCUACGGGAGGCAGCAGUGGGGAAUAUUGCACAAUGGGCGCAAGCCUGAUGCAGCAACGCCGCGUGAGGGAUGACGGCCUUCGGGUUGUAAACCUCUUUUAGUAGGGAAGAAGCCUUUUGGGUGAAGGUACCUGCAAAAAAAGCACCGGCUAACUACGUGCCAACAGCCGCGGUAAUACCUAAGGUGCAAGCCUUGUCCGGAAUUAUUGGGCGUAAAGAACUCCUAAGCCGUUUGUCCCGUCUGCCGUGAAAACCCGGGGCUCAACUUCCGGGUCUGCAAUGGGUACGG
rnacentral:rRNA from 1 species